GGCGCGGGGCGGGCAGGAGCAUCGUGUUAGGUUGCGCAGGAGGAGGGGGAACUGGUGCUGGAGAGACAGGGAGAGGGGCGAACCGGCCCCCCACAGCCGCUGCAGUUAACAGAAAUCUUCCGCCUCUGCUGUAUGGACCUUACUGGCACCAACCUCGGCAGUAUGAGCAGGAGUUCCACCAUCUUCCUCUGAAGACGUAGCCAUCUUGCUCCAUGAAGGUCAGGACAAUCUGACAUGCACUUGUUUCUUGCCUCUAUACUUGAAGAGUAGUCCUCUUACAUUGUGUACAUU
rnacentral:sRNA from 1 species